rnacentral:rRNA from 1 species
UACAGAGGGGGCAAGCGUUAUUCGGAAUUAUUGGGCGUAAAGGGCGCGUAGGCGGCUUGGCAAGUGGAUGGUGAAAUCCCUCGGCUUAACCGAGGAACUGCCGUCCAAAACUGCUUAGCUUGAGACCCGGGGAGAGGUGAGUGGAAUUCCCAGUGUAGCGGUGAAAUGCGUAGAUAUUGGGGAGGAACACCAGUGGCGAAGGCGGCUCACUGGACCGGUACUGACGCUGAUGCGCGAAAGCGUGGGGAGCAAACGGG